GUGAACUGGGACCAAGAUCCCAAGCCGGCUCUGGUGACUAAAUUCAUGGAGAACGGCUCCUUGUCGGGGCUGCUGCAGUCCCAGUGCCCUCGGCCCUGGCCGCUCCUUUGCCGCCUGCUGAAAGAAGUGGUGCUUGGGAUGUUUUACCUGCACGACCAGAACCCGGUGCUCCUGCACCGGGACCUCAAGCCAUCCAACGUCCUGCUGGACCCAGAGCUGCACGUCAAGGUCAGCUGGUCUACACCCCUCUCAGCCUCAAGACAAGGCCCCAGAGCUGCUCCAGCCAGGCCCGCCGGACACUAGACCUCCAGAGCCCUGUCUAUUGAAUAGGCGUAGCCUCUCUCUCUGGACACAGGGCUGCCAGGGGACAAAGCCCAGCCAGGAGUUUUAGCUCCUGCCUACCAGGUGAUAGAGGCCCUGAGCCACACGAGUCAUUUCCACCAGCUGCCCCACCAGCCCCUCCAAAGAGUCAUGGCUGACCCAGCCCUGGAGACUCAGACCUUGACCUAGCCCUACCACAAGGCACCUAGAUCUACCAUCCAAGGGAACCUCUUCCCUUGACCUCCACACUCCCUUUACAAAGCUGAACCUGCACCUUCUGGGGGCAGGGGGGUUCCUGGAGGCUCUCUGGCCCCCUUGUCUUCCCUACCUCCCACUUCUUUCCUUCCUUUGCAGCUGGCAGAUUUUGGCCUGUCCACAUUUCAGGGAGGCUCACAGUCAGGGACAGGGUCCGGGGAGCCAGGGGGCACCCUGGGCUACUUGGCCCCAGAACUGUUUGUUAACGUAAACCGGAAGGCCUCCACAGCCAGUGACGUCUACAGCUUCGGGAUCCUAAUGUGGGCAGUGCUUGCUGGAAGAGAAGUUGAGUGUAAGACUCUAGGAGGAUUCUGGGAUCCUUAACCCCAGUGCCAACCGAACCAUCACUCGUGUACGAAGCAGUGUGCAACAGGCAGAACCGGCCUUCAUUGGCUGAGCUGCCCCAAGCCGGGCCUGAGACUCCCGGCUUAGAAGGACUGAAGGAGCUAAUGCAGCUCUGCUGGAGCAGUGAGCCCAAGGACAGACCCUCCUUCCAGGAAUGCCUACCAAAAACUGAUGAAGUCUUCCAGAUGGUGGAGAACAAUAUGAAUGCUGCUGUCUCCACGGUAAAGGAUUUCCUGUCUCAGCUCAGGAGCAGCAAUAGGAGAUUUUCUAUCCCAGAGUCAGGCCAAGGAGGGACAGAAAUGGAUGGCUUUAGGAGAACCAUAGAAAACCAGCACUCUCGUAAUGAUGUCAUGGUUUCUGAGUGGCUAAACAAACUGAAUCUAGAGGAGCCUCCCAGCUCUGUUCCUAAAAAAUGCCCGAGCCUUACCAAGAGGAGCAGGGCACAAGAGGAGCAGGUUCCACAAGCCUGGACAGCAGGCACAUCUUCAGAUUCGAUGGCCCAACCUCCCCAGACUCCAGAGACCUCAACUUUCAGAAACCAGAUGCCCAGCCCUACCUCAACUGGAACACCAAGUCCUGGACCCCGAGGGAAUCAGGGGGCUGAGAGACAAGGCAUGAACUGGUCCUGCAGGACCCCGGAGCCAAAUCCAGUAACAGGUACCCAUUCUCUACCUCUUUCUUUUCCCUGUUCAAUUCUUCCACCAGACUCCUCCUCCAGACCUAUAUCUAGAUUCAGGGUACUUUGUGGAGGGGAGGGGAGAAGAUGAUCUAACUCAACCUUCUCAUUUCAUAAAUGGGAAAACCGACACCCCCUGAGAAAGGAGCCCUCUGAGGUCACACAACAAAGCUUGGAUUUGUCCCUGAAUCUUCUAACUUUCCACAACACCAGCUCUGUGAGCCCCCUAAGUUCCAUUGUUUCAGCAGUCCAGAGGACCUCCCAGCAAAAAAGAUCAGGGUCUCAAAUGUCAAUUGCCACUCUCUAGAGCUUCUGCUAACACAAUUCUGGAGAGGAGCUCUGAGGGGAGGAGCACAGGGCACACCUUGACACAGCCACUGACAAGUAGAGACUUC
rnacentral:lncRNA from 1 species